rnacentral:lncRNA from 1 species
CGUCACAUACCAAGGAGGGCUCUCACUCUCUCGGCAGAUUCACUUUGCAGGGCUUUGAAAAAAAACGUUUUUCUUCAUGGAAUUUGCUGGGAGCAUGGCCACGGGUUAAAGGUGCUAUCACUGAGGGCAGCUACCAUUUUUAUUUUAGUUUUUUUGCUGGGAACGAAGAAACAAUAUUUUUUCUUUUUUUUUGGCUCUUUUUGAAAAAUGCUGUUACCAUUGCAUAAUGGAGAAGCAAAUUUUUCUUUCUUUCUUUGCAAGCGCUGAUUUAGUAUCCCUCGGCUUUGGGAAUUUUAUUUUUAGCUUUUAAUUUGAUGACCUUGGAAAAAGCACACGUUUUUCAUUGAUUUGAGAUAAAAGCUGAUUCAAUGAGAUGGGAGAGCACACUUUUAA